rnacentral:misc_RNA from 1 species
GAUGAAGAACGUAGCGAAAUGCGAUAAGUAAUGCGAAUUGCAGAAUUCAGUGAAUCAUCGAAUCUUUGAACGCACAUUGCGCCCGCUAGUAUUCUGGCGGGCAUGCCUGUCUGAGCGUCAUUUCAACCCUCGCCCCCGGCUUUUGCUGGGAGCGGUGUUGGGGAUCGGCCGCCCGUCACUGGGAGGCCGGCCCCGAAAUAGAGUGGCGACCACGCCGUGUGCUCCUCUGCGUAGUAGUAAAUCACCUCGCAGGCGGACAGCGGUGCGGCCUGCCGUAAAACCCCCAACUCUUUCUGGUUGACCUCAGAUCAGGUAGGAAUACCCGCUGAACUUAAGCAUAUCAAUAAGCGGAGGA